AAAAGUAUUUGCGGGUUUUGUC
rnacentral:miRNA from 2 species